UACGGAGGGGGCUAGCGUUGUUCGGAAUUACUGGGCGUAAAGCGCGCGUAGGCGGAUCUGUAAGUUGGGGGUGAAAUCCCGAGGCUCAACCUCGGAACUGCCUUCGAUACUGCAGAUCUCGAGUCCGAGAGAGGUGAGUGGAAUUCCUAGUGUAGAGGUGAAAUUCGUAGAUAUUAGGAAGAACACCAGUGGCGAAGGCGGCUCACUGGCUCGGUACUGACGCUGAGGCGCGAAAGCGUGGGGAGCAAACAGG
rnacentral:rRNA from 1 species